GACGAACGCUGACGGCGUGCUUAACACAUGCAAGUCGAACGGAAAGGCCCUGCUUUUGUGGGGUGCUCGAGUGGCGAACGGGUGAGUAACACGUGAGUAACCUGCCCUUGACUUUGGGAUAACUUCAGGAAACUGGGGCUAAUACCGGAUAGGAGCUCCUGCUGCAUGGUGGGGGUUGGAAAGUUUCGGCGGUUGGGGAUGGACUCGCGGCUUAUCAGCUUGUUGGUGGGGUAGUGGCUUACCAAGGCUUUGACGGGUAGCCGGCCUGAGAGGGUGACCGGCCACAUUGGGACUGAGAUACGGCCCAGACUCCUACGGGAGGCAGCAGUGGGGAAUAUUGCACAAUGGGCGGAAGCCUGAUGCAGCAACGCCGCGUGCGGGAUGACGGCCUUCGGGUUGUAAACCGCUUUCGCCUGUGACGAAGCGUGAGUGACGGUAAUGGGUAAAGAAGCACCAGCUAACUACGUG
rnacentral:rRNA from 1 species